UGGGGAAUUUUGGACAAUGGGCGAAAGCCUGAUCCAGCAAUGCCGCGUGUGUGAAGAAGGCCUUCGGGUUGUAAAGCACUUUUGUCCGGAAAGAAAUCCUUGGCUCUAAUACAGUCGGGGGAUGACGGUACCGGAAGAAUAAGCACCGGCUAACUACGUGCCAGCAGCCGCGGUAAUACGUAGGGUGCAAGCGUUAAUCGGAAUUACUGGGCGUAAAGCGUGCGCAGGCGGUUUGCUAAGACCGAUGUGAAAUCCCGGGCUCAACCUGGGAACUGCAUUGGUGACUGGCAGGCUAGAGUAUGGCAGAGGGGGGUAGAAUUCCACGUGUAGCAGUGAAAUGCGUAGAGAUGUGGAGGAAUACCGAUGGCGAAGGCAGCCCCCUGGCAAGUACUGACGCUCAUGCACGAAAAGCGUGGGGAGCAAACAGGAUUAGAUACCCUGGUAGUCCACGCCCUAAANGAUGUCAACUAGUUGUUGGGGAUUCAUUUCCUUAGUAACGUAGCUAACGCGUGAAGUUGACCGCCUGGGGAGUACGGUCGCAAGAUUAAAACUUAAAUAAUUGACGGGGUCAU
rnacentral:rRNA from 1 species